GCAAAACCUCGCAGUAAAUCCAAUUCCAUAUUUGACAUGGAUUUUGGCAUCACCUUUUCAUCUUUUUUUCAGAAAGUUCGACUUUGGUCCAUCUUGGCCAUAAUUUUGAAAUACGAAAGGAGUCUGAAUUCCAUGAAAAAUUUAAACUCUUGGAUCAUUGCUAUUAUUCGAACGUGGAAAAGAAAUGUGGAUCAGCAAAAUUUGUCAGUGAUAAUUUGGAGAGGUUCCAAAACGUAAAGAAGGAGUUGCCAACUUCGAGAAGGAGUACAAAUCUGCGGAUACCCCUUUCAACAAAAGUGUGCAGAUAUAUUGCCGCUAUUAUUACGCACUUCGUGGAAUCGUAGGGGCAAGCUUGGUCAAGCAUUGCCAUAACUCUCUGUGGGAGGCGAACUUAUACAAUAUAUAUUUCACGUAAACAUAUAUACAUAUUUGUAAAUGGUCCAGAAACAGGAAAUGAUUGCGGAACAAUAAACUCUUUCGGUUUUAGA